GAGCAAAGAACUACAAAUAAACACAACUUCCCCCACUUCAAGUUUCAAGAUAAAGCAUUGUCAAUGGCUGGAACUAAAUUUGCUUUCUUUUUUGCUGCUCUCCUCUUGGCGAUUGUUGUUAAUCCAUCCAUGUUAGCUCGCCGAAGAUGAAAGUGAAAGCAUUGAGAAACUUACCCUUAGAUAUGGAUAUGGAAAUGGUUGAAAGAAAUCUAUUGUUCUCAAGACUAAAAGAUGAUGGUUGGCUAACUUGUAAGAGACCUUGCAACCAGAAUAGUGAUUGCUCCGACAGUUGGCUUUGCAAUUCAUGUGGAUAUCCUGUCGUCGGGCAUAGAUAUAUGCAAUGCCUCCUUCCUCCAGAAUCCUCAAAGUAUGCUCAAGUGAUUCCAACUGCAUUCAUCGCGGGAGGUGAAAACCUGAGAGAAUAGCUCUAAUAAAUAAAUAAAUAAAUAAAUAGAAUUGCAUGUGUUUAUGUUGCUUUUGAUUUACCUACGUUGAGUGAAUAAGUGACGACUAAGAUUUUACAUGUCCCAAUAUUGGUCGUUUAUUUUCUAUCAUAUAUGUAUGUGCGUACUUACUAUACAUAUUAAUCUUGGUGAAUGAAAUAAGUUAUGCAGUUUGUGUA